rnacentral:rRNA from 1 species
AUUGAACGCUGGCGGCAGGCCUAACACAUGCAAGUCGAGCGGAAACGAGUUGUCUGAACCUUCGGGGAACGAUAACGGCGUCGAGCGGCGGACGGGUGAGUAAUGCCUAGGAAAUUGCCCUGAUGUGGGGGAUAACCAUUGGAAACGAUGGCUAAUACCGCAUGAUGCCUACGGGCCAAAGAGGGGGACCUUCGGGCCUCUCGCGUCAGGAUAUGCCUAGGUGGGAUUAGCUAGUUGGUGAGGUAAGGGCUCACCAAGGCGACGAUCCCUAGCUGGUCUGAGAGGAUGAUCAGCCACACUGGAACUGAGACACGGUCCAGACUCCUACGGGAGGCAGCAGUGGGGAAUAUUGCACAAUGGGCGCAAGCCUGAUGCAGCCAUGCCGCGUGUGUGAAGAAGGCCUUCGGGUUGUAAAGCACUUUCAGUCGUGAGGAAGGUGGUAGUGUUAAUAGCACUAUCAUUUGACGUUAGCGACAGAAGAAGCACCGGCUAACUCCGUGCCAGCAGCCGCGGUAAUACGGAGGGUGCGAGCGUUAAUCGGAAUUACUGGGCGUAAAGCGCAUGCAGGUGGUUUGUUAAGUCAGAUGUGAAAGCCCGGGGCUCAACCUCGGAAUUGCAUUUGAAACUGGCAGACUAGAGUACUGUAGAGGGGGGUAGAAUUUCAGGUGUAGCGGUGAAAUGCGUAAGAUCUGAAGGAAUACCGGUGGCGAAGGCGGGCCCCCUGGACAGAUACUGACACUCAGAUGCGAAAGCGUGGGGGAGCAAACAGG